rnacentral:rRNA from 1 species
GUGCCAGCCGCCGCGGUAAUACGUAUGGUGCGAACGUUGUUCGGAAUCACUGGGCAUAAAGAGCACGUAGGCGGUUGAGCAAGUCCAUUGUGAAAUCCCCCGGCUUAACCGGGGAACCGCAGUGGUUACUACUUGACUUGAGUGCAGGAGGGGAGAGCGGAAUUCCAGGUGGAGCGGUGAAAUGCGUAGAUAUCUGGAGGAACGCCGGUGGCGAAAGCGACUCUCUGGUCUGUAACUGACGCUGAGGUGCGAAAGCUAGGGGAGCAAACGGGAUUAGAAACCCCCGUAGUCC